rnacentral:rRNA from 1 species
CCUACGGGUGGCAGCAGUGGGGAAUAUUGCACAAUGGGGGAAACCCUGAUGCAGCGACGCCGCGUGAGUGAAGAAGUAUUUCGGUAUGUAAAGCUCUAUCAGCAGGGAAGAUAAUGACGGUACCUGACUAAGAAGCCCCGGCUAACUACGUGCCAGCAGCCGCGGUAAUACGUAGGGGGCAAGCGUUAUCCGGAUUUACUGGGUGUAAAGGGAGCGUAGGUGGCAGGGCAAGUCAGAUGUGAAAACCCGGGGCUCAACCCCGGGAGUGCAUUUGAAACUGUCCAGCUGGAGUGCAGGAGAGGUAAGCGGAAUUCCUAGUGUAGCGGUGAAAUGCAUAGAUAUCGCGCAGAACUCCGAUUGCGAAGGCAGCAUGCCGGCUCCACACUGACGCUGAGGCACGAAAGCGUGGGUAUCGAACAGGAUUAGAUACCCGUGUAGUC